GAGUUCAGAGUGUACCAAACAUACAGGAAACGUCCUGACCUCAAUUUGACUCAGUGUGCCAAACACUGCACCUACAGGAAACAGAUGUUUGAGCAAUAACGAACAUAACAGGAAACCAAGCAAACACUGCACAUACAGGGAACAGAUGCUUGAGCAACAACCAACAUAACAGGAAACCAAGAGUAGUUCCUAGACACGAGACACAUAGCAACAGACGUCAGUCAGUAGACUGACCAAUCAGAUAACUACUGGCACAGUGUAUAUAAGCUGCUGUACAACAAACUCUCAGACAGAUCGCUUUGGGUUUUACUGGUACUACUGUUCAAGUGUACUAUACAAUCUCCGCUCUCUGCAGACUGCGUUCAAUAAAAUACUUCUACUUGACUCAACUCCUGCUUCCUCGAAAUGUGUUCCUGCUUCCGGCCCGGGUGAGACGGCACUAAAAAAUGCGUCUCAACAAUUUGGGGGCUCGUCCGGGAUGCAGGGAGUUGUGAGGAGAACAUCGAGAGGACCAUUCGGACCUAAAAAUUUUCUUCAUGGACAAAGGACAAAGACACUAGCCGGCACUGACAAAUAAGCCCUUGUUGCAGAGUAUGCCAAGUAGGUGGGGGAGAGAAACAAGGAAGACACAGCGACCCCACCAAGCACAGAGUGGGUCCUACUGAAGGUGCUCAAGCGAAAGUGGACCGAACCCAGGUGGAUGGGUCCAUAUCGAGUGACUGAACGCACCUCGCAUGCUGUUCGGCUGAACGGCAAGGGAGACACGUGGUUCCACUGGAGCCAGUGUGCAGCGGCGGACGCCCCUGCACGCACGUUGGGAGAGACACGUACCGAGUUACGUGAACAACAACAACGGGAGAAGACCACCAAUCAACAAGGGGCAGAAUAAUCCCCUGGUGGCAUCAGGGUGAGGUAGUCUACCCAAAAGCCCUGUGGGAGGAGGUGAAAUAGUGCUCCUCUCCUACACGUGGUGUGCCAAACCACCAACCAGAUUCGUCGAGGGACCAAGAAGAUCGUGACAACCAUCGAGCUCCUUAUUCUCUGUUGGUUUGGGGUACUCAUGGUCUUUCUUUGAGCCCUGAUACAUCUGUCCAUCACGGGUACAACUCAAGUUUAAGGUGCCACUAAGUAUUAGUACUUAGUCGAAUUUUCACACAUUAUACGAUGUUUUGAUUUGUGAUCUCUUUAAUAGAGAUCAAAAGGGGGAUUAAUGAGCGUACAAAGCCUCAUGUUUAAGAGUUCAGAGUGUACCAAACAUACAGGAAACAUCCUGACCUCAAUUUGGCUCAGUGUGCCAAACACUGCACCUACAGGAAACAGAUGUUUGAGCAAUAACGAACAUAACAGGAAACCAAGCAAACACUGCACAUACAGGAAACAGAUGCUUGAGCAACAACCAACAAAACAGGAAACCAAGAGUAGUUCCUAGACACGAGACACAUAGCAACAGACGUCAGUCAGUAGACUGACCAAUCAGAUAACUACUGGCACAGUGUAUAUAAGCUGCUGUACAACAAACUCUCAGACAGAUCGCUUUGGGUUUUACUGGUACUACUGUUCAAGUGUACUAUACGAUCUCCGCUCUCUGCAGACUGCGUUCAAUAAAAUACUUCUACUUGACUCAA